rnacentral:sRNA from 1 species
GUCCUUCGACACCUACGUGCAUUUUCGUCUCUGGAUUGCUUCUGUAGCUUAAGUUGUCUGUUUUGCUCCAGAAUGCUCUAUAAUCUCCAAAUGUAUCUCAAACAUGUAAAGACCUGAAAAGGAUUAGAAAAGACUUUAUAAAUAACAAAUAGACUCUAAAACCUAUACCUAAACCAUAGUUAAAAACAGUAAAAAUAGGGUUAUAUCAGCAAGCAAGAGAUAAGUUUGGGGGAGUUGAUAACACUGUAUUUUACUCAUUUUAGGUGUAUGUUUAUCAUCAUUUAGCUUUGCAUUUGCUCAUUGUAUCAUAUCAUUUUGCACCAUUUUAGCUUGUUUUGCAUACUUAGGCAUCUAGGAUCAUCUUGCAUAUGCAUUGCAUGUUUCAGGUGCAGAAUGAGCUAAAAAGGACUCUACUCGAUCCAUUCAAUCGAUCCAGGCAGCUACAGAAGAGGCAUCAUUCUACUCGACCUCUUUACUCGAUCCAGGAUGCUACAAAGGAGGCUGCACUUUAUUCGACCCUCUUACUCGAUCAAGGCAACCUUAGAUGAAGCAUUAGAUUGAUCUACUCGCCCCUCCUACUCGAUCCAUUUACUCGACCAAGGGUG